rnacentral:rRNA from 1 species
AUUGAACGCUGGCGGCAUGCCUUACACAUGCAAGUCGAACGGUAACGGGCCUUCGGGUGCCGACGAGUGGCGAACGGGUGAGUAAUACAUCGGAACGUGCCCGAUCGUGGGGGAUAACGAGGCGAAAGCUUUGCUAAUACCGCAUACGAUCUACGGAUGAAAGCAGGGGACCGCAAGGCCUUGCGCGGACGGAGCGGCCGAUGGCAGAUUAGGUAGUUGGUGGGAUAAAAGCUUACCAAGCCGACGAUCUGUAGCUGGUCUGAGAGGAUGAUCAGCCACACUGGGACUGAGACACGGCCCAGACUCCUACGGGAGGCAGCAGUGGGGAAUUUUGGACAAUGGGCGCAAGCCUGAUCCAGCCAUGCCGCGUGCAGGAUUAAGGCCUUCGGGUUGUAAACUGCUUUUGUACGGAACGAAAAGCCUUCUUUUAAUACAGGAGGGUCAUGACGGUACCGUAAGAAUAAGCACCGGCUAACUUCGUG